GAUGCUAAUACCGGAUAACAACAGAUGAUGCCUAUCAACUGUUUAAAAGAUGGUUCUGCUAUCACUCUUGGAUGGACCUGCGGUGCAUUAGCUAGUUGGUAGGGUAACGGCCUACCAAGGCGAUGAUGCAUAGCCGAGUUGAGAGACUGAUCGGCCACAUUGGGACUGAGACACGGCCCAAACUCCUACGGGAGGCAGCAGUU
rnacentral:rRNA from 1 species